GCCGGGCAUAGUGGUGUGUGCCUGUAAUCCCAGCUACUCGGGAGGCUGAGGCAGGAGAAUCGCUUGAACCCGGGAGGCAGAGGUUGCAGUGAGCUGAGAUCACGCCACUGCACUCCAGCCUGGGCGACAGAGUGAGACUCCGCCUCCA
rnacentral:SRP_RNA from 2 species